GAUCUGGCUCAGGAUGAACGCUAGCUACAGGCUUAACACAUGCAAGUCGAGGGGAAACGACAUCGAAAGCUUGCUUUUGAUGGGUGUCGACCGGCGCACGGGUGAGUAACGCGUAUCCAACCUGCCCACCACCUGGGGAUAACCUUGCGAAAGUAAGACUAAUACCCAAUGAUAUCUCUAGAAGACAUCUGAAGGAGAUUAAAGAUUUAUCGGUGAUGGAUGGGGAUGCGUCUGAUUAG
rnacentral:rRNA from 1 species